UAUAUAUAUAUAUAUAUAUAAGACCUUGUGACGAGUGACGAUUGGAUCGUGCAGGAGAAUUUUGAUAAAUUGAUAGAGCAUCAUACAGUUAAGGUUAGUAAGAUGGUGGAGACGGAGGCAGCUGUGGCGGGUUGGCUACAAUAUUUUAAAAUAGCUAGCUAUUAUAUUUAAAAAAUAUGUCAUAUAUUUUGAGUAUGUAAAAUGCUAGUCAAAGAUUAUAUAUAUAAUAUAUGAUAGUAUUAUUUUGCCACAAUUUAUUUAUUUAUCGCUCGAUGAAGAGUGCAUGUAGUCGGCCCCUCUUGGACGCUUGACCAAAGCCCUCAUGAUCAUGUUGUGCUAUGCCAGUUUCAUGAGUGAGCUGGUCGGUCAACUCCUUUUGGCGAGCUAGACUCGGUCACCCCAUCAUUUAACGCUUUAUUAAAUUAUUAAAUGUUUGAUUGUUUAGCCGCAUGUAUUUAUAGACUGGUUCUAAACCACCAGCGUGCUGAGCCAAGCUCUCUGACUUUAAUAUUAAAAAUGUUAAUAUUUAAUAAA